rnacentral:rRNA from 1 species
UACAGGGGGUGCAAACGUUGCUCGGAAUUAUUGGGCGUAAAGCGCGCGUAGGCGGCUACCUAAGUCGGAUGUGAAAGCCCCUGGCUCAACUGGGGAAGUGCACCCGAAACUGAGUAGCUAGAGUGCAAAAGAGGGUCGCGGAAUUCCCGGUGUAGAGGUGAAAUUCGUAGAUAUCGGGAGGAACACCGGUGGCGAAGGCGGCGACCUGGGUUGACACUGACGCUGAGGCGCGAAAGCGUGGGGAGCGAACAGG